UACGUAGGGGGCUAGCGUUGUCCGGAAUCAUUGGGCGUAAAGAGCGUGUAUGCGGCCCGGUAAGUCCGCUGUGAAAGUCGGGGGCUCAACCCUCGAAUGCCGGUGGAUACUGUCGGGCUAGAGUGCGGAAGAGGCGAGUGGAAUUCCUGGUGUAGCGGUGAAAUGCGCAGAUAUCAGGAGGAACACCGAUUGCGAAGGCAGCUCGCUGGGACGUAACUGACGCUGAGACGCGAAAGCGUGGGGAGCAAACAGG
rnacentral:rRNA from 1 species